GGGAAGGGUUGCCAGUCCUGCACGUAGUCUAAGUUUAAAGCUGCCAGUACAGAACAGAAUGACUCUGGGUGUGAAAAGAUAGGAGAGAAAACACAUAUUUCUAGAUGAAGCUUUAUUUUUUUAAAAAAGCAGUGUGCACAUGCUUGAUCAGAGGAUACAUUCUAGGCAAUUGAGGAACUUAUGCUUGCUAGCUAGAAGAGCACAGCCCAAGGAAAACCAUCCGCUACAGAAACUGGAUCUCUCCUACACUCUGUAGGGGAAAAGAUUAUAAAGAAAAAAAAAAGUAAAAUGCCAAUGAUCAUCUUAUGUUGAGGAAAUGAAGUUGUUUCUCCUCGCUCAAGGCACAGGGAUUGGGCAAAAAUACAGGAUGGAAAGAAAUGAGAAGCUCUGGACAUUGGAGGAUCCUGACUCAGUCCAUGAAGUGAUAAGAAAGAACUGGCAGUCGGUCCUCCCUUCCACUUAUACUCUUGGUGGGGAGCACAAGUAGAGCUGGGGCACAGGUGGGGACCAAUAGACACUGCUUGCAAAAACUCUCCAGUCACGUGUGCAUGCAUACCCAGAGUGGAAUACAUAAAUGGACCAGCACUCAACAAAGACUAGUUUUUAUGGCCAAAUAAACCAAGAUGCUUUGGUUCUCGUUCUUCUGGUGUCAUUCUAUGUUAUUUGGUUUUCUCAUUAGCUGCAACCAGUACAAAGGAACCCAGUACCAGGUAUGAAUAGAAAAAUUCUGCUCCCGAAGAGAGAACUUGGUAUUUCUUGCUGGCCUUCUUUAACAAAGGAGCAGCAACUGCAGGUGUCUGCCAUACAUUUCUUGCAAAGUCCAACAGUACCUGUUUAAUCAGGAACGCACAAAACCUGACAUUGGUGAAUGAAGUAUGCCAGUUUAUGUGAGGAUUCUUACACCUCCUCAAGAGGACUUCGUAUAGCCUCAGCUACUCUUCUGAACAAGUCCUGAAAAUGUUUCAAAUUAUUUGGGUUAGAUGGAGUGGAGGGUCGAGGAUGACAUAGCUGUGGGCCCAGGUAGAUCUCCCAUUUCAG